rnacentral:rRNA from 1 species
AGUGAACGCUGGCGGCAGGCUUAACACAUGCAAGUCGAACGCCCGGGCAACCGGGAGUGGCAGACGGGUGAGUAACACGUGGGAACGUACCCUUUGGUUCGGAAUAACUCAGGGAAACUUGAGCUAAUACCGGAUAAGCCCUUUUGGGGAAAGAUUUAUCGCCGAAGGAUCGGCCCGCGUCCGAUUAGCUAGUUGGUGAGGUAACGGCUCACCAAGGCGACGAUCGGUAGCUGGUCUGAGAGGAUGACCAGCCACACUGGGACUGAGACACGGCCCAGACUCCUACGGGAGGCAGCAGUGGGGAAUAUUGGACAAUGUGGGCAACCCUGAUCCAGCCAUGCCGCGUGAGUGAUGAAGGCCCUAGGGUUGUAAAGCUCUUUCGGCGGGGACGAUAAUGACGGUACCCGCAGAAGAAGCCCCGGCUAACUUCGUGCCAGCCGCCGCGGUAA